rnacentral:rRNA from 1 species
GACGGAGGGGGCUAGCGUUGUUCGGAAUGACUGGGCGUAAAGAGCGCGUAGGCGGUUUUUUAAGUGAGGCGUGAAAGCCCUGGGCUUAACCCAGGAGGUGCGUUUCAUACUGGAAAACUUGAGUACGAGAGAGGAAAGCGGAAUUCCUAGUGUAGAGGUGAAAUUCGUAGAUAUUAGGAAGAACACCAGUGGCGAAGGCGGCUUUCUGGCUCGUAACUGACGCUGAGGCGCGAAAGCGUGGGGAGCAAACAGG